UACGGGGGGGGGUAAGCGUUGUUCGGAAUUACUGGGCGUAAAGGGCUCGUAGGCGGCCAACUAAGUCAGACGUGAAAUCCCUCAGCUUAACUGGGGAACUGCGUCUGAUACUGGAUGGCUUGGAUUUGGGAGAGGGAUGCGGAAUUCCAGGUGUAGCGGUGAAAUGCGUAGAUAUCUGGAGGAACACCGGUGGCGAAGGCGGCAUCCUGGACCAACACUGACACUGAGGAGCGAAAGCCAGGGGAGCAAACGGG
rnacentral:rRNA from 1 species